UACGAAGGGUGCAACCGUUGCUCGGAAUUAUUGGGCGUAAAGCGCACGUAGGCGGAUUGUUAAGUCAGGGGUGAAAUCCUGGAGCUCAACUCCAGAACUGCCUUUGAUACUGGCGAUCUUGAGUCCGGGAGAGGUGAGUGGAACUGCGAGUGUAGAGGUGAAAUUCGUAGAUAUUCGCAAGAACACCAGUGGCGAAGGCGGCUCACUGGCCCGGUACUGACGCUGAGGUGCGAAGGCGUGGGGAGCAAACAGG
rnacentral:rRNA from 1 species